GACGAAUGCUGGCGGCGUGCUUAACACAUGCAAGUCGAACGGAAAGGCCCUGCUUGCAGGGUACUCGAGUGGCGAACGGGUGAGUAACACGUGGGCGAUCUGCCCUGCACUUCGGGAUAAGCCUGGGAAACUGGGUCUAAUACCGGAUAGGAGCCAUUUUUAGUGUGAUGGUUGGAAAGUUUUUUCGGUGUAGGUUGAGCUCGCGGCCUAUCAGCUUGUUGGUGGGGUAAUGGCCUACCAAGGCGGCGACGGGUAGCCGGCCUGAGAGGGUGGACGGCCACAUUGGGACUGAGAGACGGCCCAGACUGCUACGGGAGGCAGCAGUGGGGAGUAUUGCACAAUGGGCGCAAGCCUGAUGCAGCGACGCCGCGUGGGGGAUGACGGCCUUCGGGUUGUAAACUACUUUCGCUAGGGACGAAGCUUUUGUGACGGUACCUAGAUAAGAAGCACCGGCUAACUACGUG
rnacentral:rRNA from 1 species